rnacentral:rRNA from 1 species
UACGAAGGGGGCUAGCGUUUUUCGGAAUUACUGGGCGUAAAGGGCGCGUAGGCGGUGUGUCAAGUCAGGCGUGAAAGCCCCGGGCUCAACCUGGGAACCGCGCUUGAGACUGGCACGCUCGAGUUCGGGAGAGGAUGGUGGAAUUCCCAGUGUAGAGGUGAAAUGCGUAGAUAUUGGGAAGAACACCGAUGGCGAAGGCAGCCAUCUGGACCGACACUGACGCUGAGGCGCGAAAGCGUGGGGAGCAAACAGG